UUAAGUCUGGGGGAUACCAUCUGGAAAACAGAUGCUAAUACCGGAUAAAAGCUACUUUCGCAUGAAAGAAGUUUAAAGGCGGGCGUAAAGCUGUCGCUAAAGGGAUGGGACCUGCGAUGCAUUAGCUAGUUGGUAAGGUAACGGGCUUACCGAAGGCGAUGAUGCAUAGCCCGAGUUGAGAGACUGAUCGGGCCACAUUGGGGACUGAGACACGGGACCCAAAACUCCGUACGGGGAGGCAGCAGUAGGGAAUCUUCCACAAUGGACGAAAGUCUGAUGGAGCAACGCCGCGUGAGUGAAGAAGGUUUUCGGAUCGUAAAAGCUCUGUUGUUGGUGAAGAAGGAUAGAGGUAGUAACUGGCCUUUAUUUGACGGUAAUCAACCAGAAGUCACGGCUAACUACGUGCCAGCAGCCGCGGUAAU
rnacentral:rRNA from 1 species